rnacentral:lncRNA from 1 species
GAGUCACAGCAUUCCAGCCUGGGCUACAAAGCAAGACUGCGUGUCAGAAAAAGAAAAGAAAAAUGGAUUCAAAGAUUUAUCACUGUUAAGUUCCACCAGCAAAUUAUUAAAUGUGGUUCCAAAGGGAUAUUUAAAAAGGGAAAUUAAAAUUGUUUCCAAGAAAGCCCUAUUCACAGCAGAAACGUAGACACUGUACCUGACCUCACCACACAAAGUUCCCUCAUGUGUUGGGAGGGACCAAGGGGCUCUCUGGUCCUGCACCUGCGUUAAUUAUGGCCGGGAGGUCCGCAGUAGGACCCUAAGGGCUAGGAACCAGCCUGGGUCAGGGGCAGAGAAGUGGUGGAUGUGGCUCCCAAAGUGGCUUAGGGGUUCCCUUCCCUGUGGCUGUUUCCUGACUGGAUGCAGCAGGGUCAGGCCUUUCAGUGUGACGUUUUCUACUCUUUAUUAGAGUGGCAGGAGCGUCCCUGUGCGAGGCCUGACCCAGGUGUGGGCCUUGCAGCCAGCUCGGGGUCCAAGGGGCACUCCUGCGGUGCUGCAAAGGAGGAUUUGUGACAACCCAGAGGAUGGAGGAAACGGCGGCUUUGAAAAGGCAAGUGCCAAGUUAUCAGGGAUCGCUUAUAUCCAUUUCUGGCAGUGAACUGACAAUUUCAGACACUCAGGAGGGAGCUUCCCGCGUGGGAUCACAAAAAGUCCGAGAAGUGUCAGACAUCUGGCCAUUAACCCCAUUCCUACGCAGGGACUACACUGCCGCUUGUCCGAAGGGGCGUGUCAGGGGCGGAGCGAGGAUGAGGGGCGGUGCCAAUAAAAGAGGCGGGGGAGAAGGGGCGGUGCUGAGGGGAGAGGCCGGGCCAAGGGAAGAAGCGUGCGAGAAAGGGUGGGGCGAGUCCAGCUACAGGAAGAGUAGCGUUACUAUGGCAACCCUGACAGGUUUGUGAGCAGCCCCCGGUCCCCUGCCGCUCCGUGAGAAAUCAAACUUCAGGCACUGACGAAGCAUGAAGCCAGCAUCUUAGGAAGAGGUAGUGACAUAAUUACAAGAUUUGUGCUGUGCACUAACAUGCAAUACAAAUACUGAUGAAAAUAAAACUAUUGCCCUCCUACCAAAUGAGAAAUUAAUGUUAUGACUGGAUGAAGACAAUUGUGAAGAAACUGCACUUUGAGGUUGUCUAUCUCUGUAUUCUGAUGGAAAAGCGUGGAGUUUAGAAGCACUGCUCACUCCUUCAGUUUCUAACAAGUUUGAGACUAUGGUUAGGUGGUGAGGAAGGCAGGCUCAGCACCCAAGCCUUGGGGAGACGCAGAAAGGGCCCAUCCCAGGCACUCAGGUGGAGAAAUUCACUGGUAUAGGUUUCCCUCAAAACACUGCUUUCACCAGUUUCCGUAAGUUUUACGUUUUGGUUACAUUGUCAUUUAUGUUAAAACACUUUCUGAUAAGUAUUUGUGGUUUUCUUUUGAUCCAUAAAUUAUUUGGGAUUUUGCCAUUUAAUGUCCACAUACUUAAGAGUCUCCUAAAUUUCUUGCUUUCAUUGAUCUCUGAUUCUAUUAUGAUUAGAAAUCACCCAUUGUAUUAUCUCAAUCUCUAUUUUUACUGAUGUUUUAUGGCCCAGCAGGUGGUCUGUCCUAGAGAACGUUCCAUGUGGAUUUGAGAAGAAUAUAUAUUCUCAUGUUGGAUGCAGUGCUGUGCAUAUGUUUGUUAGGUUUAGUUGUUUUAUGUUGUUGUUCAUGUUUUCUAUUUUUUAUCUUCUGUCUACUUGUUCUAUCCAUUAAUAUAAGUGAAGCAUUAAAGUCUCCAACUAUUACUGUUGAAUUA